rnacentral:rRNA from 1 species
UGGGGAAUUUUGGACAAUGGGGGAAACCCUGAUCCAGCCAUCCCGCGUGUGCGAUGAAGGCCUUCGGGUUGUAAAGCACUUUUGGCAGGAAAGAAACGUCGCGGGUUAAUACCCCGCGGAACUGACGGUACCUGCAGAAUAAGCACCGGCUAACUACGUGCCAGCAGCCGCGGUAAUACGUAGGGUGCAAGCGUUAAUCGGAAUUACUGGGCGUAAAGCGUGCGCAGGCGGUUCGGAAAGAAAGAUGUGAAAUCCCAGAGCUUAACUUUGGAAACUGCAUUUUUUAACUACCGGGCUAGAGUGUGUCAGAGGGAGGUGGAAUUCCGCGUGUAGCAGGUGAAAUGCGUAGAUAUGCGGAGGAAACACCGAUGGCGAAGGCAGCCUCCUGGGAUAACACUGACGCUCAUGCACGAAAAGCGUGGGGAGCAAAACAGGAUUAGAUACCCUGGUAGUCCACGCCCUAAACGAUGUCAACUAGCUGUUGGGGUCUUCGGACCUUGGUAGCGCAGCUAACGCGUGAAGUUGACCGCCUGGGGAGUAC